rnacentral:pre_miRNA from 1 species
GUUUAACAGGUCGUGUGACCUUGGUGGUUUUACACCACGGUGAUACACAUACAUUCAAACGUUCAAUAUCACCGGGUGGAAAACUACCAAGGUCUUUGAUUCUGUA